UGGGGAGCCGGACCAUGGAGUUGCGGGGCUCCGGCUGGGGGAGUUGUGCCAAAAGGCAAAAGCUGACAUUAACAUUGUGUAAGCAGAGUCAGGAUAAGCUCUACACUGACAUCUGGUGGAAAGAAUUUCAGAGAGUGUAUUUGCAUAGGCACGCCCACCCUAUCCCAGACUGCCAAGCUGUGGGACUGCUUGGUGACAAAUUGCUCACCCUCAGUUGGGUGGUACUGGCUAGACAUGGGACAUGGGUUCCAAAACCCAGAGAAUUGAGAGAGGCUGAUGACAGGUAUCUGUGCCUGGUGGUGCAGUCUCCUUGUGGAGCCAGAAGCACCAUUUCUACACCUUCCUCUCUCCACUGGAAUGUCAGAGUUGAUUUUUUUAUUCCCUCAAGAAUCUAAAUACAGGUUACUGAGCUGAAAUCACUUGGGGCUAAUGGUGCACUAGCACUGGGGCUCCCCUACUAUGAGCUGGAAUCACUAAGAGCUGAAAAUCACUAAAAAGCUAAAAUCACUGAGCUGAGAGCACUGAGUACAGUGCUAACUAGUGGGGAGCCCAAAGCUAUACUGUGGAACAGAGCUGCUGGCGGAGUGGAGCAGUUUGUGGGGAUGGCUGGAGCGGAUCACGGGACAGCUGGUGGCAGCGGAGUGGCUGGCAGAGCGGAGUAGCUGUGAGACGGGUGGAGCGGCCCGCAGAGCUGAGCAGUUUGCAGGGACAACUGGAGCAGCUCACAGGGCAGCUGGUGGAGCAGAGCAGCUGGUGGAGCGGAGCAGUUUCUGAGAACGGCUGGAGGAGCAGAGUGGAGCGGCUGGUAAAGCGCAGCAGUUCGUGGAGAAGGCGGGAGCAGAACCCACGGAGAGGCAGGGCAGUUGGCCCCAGACCACGUAAGGUGCCCCUUUCUACCAGGCUGGGGGGGGGAGACCUCUGCAGAUAGACUCUCGAACUUUGGGGCUGCACUGACCCAGGACAGAGACUUUUGGGACUGUGGGUGAUUUGGGGGUUGCUGGACUCAAGAGCCCAGGAAAGAGGACACAGCCCAAUUUCCUGGGGUGGGUCUUUGCUCACGGUUUGGUCUAUGAACUCUAGUAGAGGUGUUUUUCCCAAUUUAGUGUUUGUUGUUUAUCUCAUGUAUUAAAUCUUUUCUGCUAAA